AGUGAACGCUGGCGGUAGGCCUAACACAUGCAAGUCGAACGGCAGCACAGGAGAGCUUGCUCUCUGGGUGGCGAGUGGCGGACGGGUGAGGAAUACAUCGGAAUCUACUCUGUCGUGGGGGAUAACGUAGGGAAACUUACGCUAAUACCGCAUACGACCUACGGGUGAAAGCAGGGGACCUUCGGGCCUUGCGCGAUUGAAUGAGCCGAUGUCGGAUUAGCUAGUUGGCGGGGUAAAGGCCCACCAAGGCGACGAUCCGUAGCUGGUCGGAGAGGAUGAUCAGCCACACUGGAACUGAGACGCGGUCCAGACUCCUACGGGAGGCAGCAGUGGGGAAUAUUGGACAAUGGGCGCAAGCCUGAUCCAGCCAUACCGCGUGGGUGAAGAAGGCCUUCGGGUUGUAAAGCCCUUUUGUUGGGAAAGAAAUCCAGCUGGCUAAUACCCGGUUGGGAUGUCGGUACCCAAAGAAUAAGCACCGGCUAACUUCGUGCCAGCAGCCGCCGUAA
rnacentral:rRNA from 1 species